rnacentral:sRNA from 1 species
UCACGUCAGUCAGACAUCACCCCCCCGGA